UACGAAGGGGGCUAGCGUUGUUCGGAUUUACUGGGCGUAAAGCGCACGUAGGCGGAUCGUUAAGUCGGGGGUGAAAUCCUGGAGCUCAACUCCAGAACUGCCUUCGAUACUGGCGAUCUUGAGUCCGGAAGAGGUGAGUGGAACUCCUAGUGUAGAGGUGGAAUUCGUAGAUAUUAGGAAGAACACCAGUGGCGAAGGCGGCUCACUGGUCCGGUACUGCGCUGAGGUGACGAAAGCGUGGGGAGCAAACGG
rnacentral:rRNA from 1 species